UCAAUAAAGAGCCCAAAGUGGAAGGGCGGGGACGACAAACAUCAGUGGACAGACUCAAUGUCCCUGAGUUGAGUUCAUGAUGCCCAACGCCCCCCUGAGGCCUCACACCGUGGACCCUGAUCCCUCAGGGACACGAGGCCUCCUGGUGAGAGUCUGCGGGGACUCGUACAGGAACACGGCACCAUGGCAACGGCAAAUAACACGUGAAAUCCAGGGUCAUUUAUACUUUUUACUCCCCGAUUUGAACGUCUUCCAGGCUGUUUCUUCACAAGAUGAGGUUGUUUAAAUGUUUUCACAGGUUUUCUUUAAUGACUAAAACAUUUGAUGAAUAAAUGAGUAACUACCGAUGGAGCGCCUGCAAUGUGUCGAAAGGAAAAAUGCUUGGUUGGACUAAUGAAGGAGAACAUUUAAAAAGUCACUGGCACACAUGAUGACCUCUCAUUGUCCAUCAAGAAGCACCGUGUGGAAAGGUGAUGAUGUAAUGACCACGGCCCACCUCAGCUGGCCAGCUGUUUCUACAGGAGAUGGAUGCAGAGCGUGCAGCCCUACAGAAGGAAGGGGGCGGGACCAGAGGCCCCGAACCUUUGAUCCAACCUUUGGGCUUCUGCCACGUUGUGUGACGUAAGCGAGCAUCUCGCACCUGAAUCAGAGGCAGCAGGGACGCAAAAACGUCCCCACGGAGAUGUCCAACAAGAUCACAGCAUUCAAGCCUAAAAGUGACCUAUGGAAGUCCUAACUGGAUCAGAACCAUCUCGCCCACUUUCCUGGUUGUCAGAGCAUCAAAACCUGAAGCCAGACCUAAACUUUAAUUUACAAGAGUUCACAGCGGGUCACUGCAGGGCUGCAGGCUAACGGCAUUAGCAUAAACUCUACUACUCUCUGGUGGAGCACUGUAGCCGGAGAGCUAAAUGCUAACAUGUUAGCUUGGCAUUAAAUAGACUGUUUGGGUGUGAGUUGUUAAUCCAGAGUAGGUAUUUUAAUCCCAGAUGAGCACCGACCACUAAAUUUAAAACAAGCACAUCCUAAAAGACUAAAAGUGAAUCAAGACACGAAGAGGUAACAUGUAUUUUUAUAAAUAAAGUAAUUUUAUCAGAUUCCAUUGACUUUAUUAUGAUGCGUUCAAGCUCUACUCAGUACAAAUGAGUGCUGAGUGAAGGUAAGAUCAUACCAGUCAUCGAGCUUUUAUUUGAAUUUGAAAGGAAAAACUUGAAUAACUCCAGAGGAUUGAAGUUACAGAAAAAAGGAAAUAAUUCUCAUUAUAUAAUUAUUAUCAAUAAAACUAGAAAUGGAAGAUAAUGUCUUUCAUCAAAGCAAGGGAUUUAGACUUUUUUCUAUGACAUUUUAGACAUAUUUUGACUUUUCUUAAAGAAUGUUUCAUAUAUUUAGACUGUUUUUUUGUAUUUUUGACUUACUCACAUAUUUGGAUUUUCUUUUAAAAUAGAAAUAUGUCCCAAUAUAUUUGGACUUUUUUGUCAAAUUAUUUUUUGACGCAAUAUUUAUUGACUUUGUUUUCAUGACAUGUUUUGACGUAACAUUUUUCGAUUCCUCUUUUGACAUCGUACUUUUUGAACAUCCAACCC
ensembl:lncRNA